rnacentral:rRNA from 1 species
AUACGUAGGGUGCAAGCGUUAAUCGGAAUUACUGGGCGUAAAGCGUGCGCAGGCGGUUUUGUAAGACAGUGGUGAAAUCCCCGGGCUCAACCUGGGAACUGCCAUUGUGACUGCAAGGCUGGAGUGCGGCAGAGGGGGAUGGAAUUCCGCGUGUAGCAGUGAAAUGCGUAGAUAUGCGGAGGAACACCGAUGGCGAAGGCAAUCCCCUGGGCCUGCACUGACGCUCAUGCACGAAAGCGUGGGGAGCAAACAGGAUUAGAUACCCUGGUAGUCCACGCCCUAAACGAUGUCGACUGGUUGUUGGGGAUUUAUUUUCUCAGUAACGAAGCUAACGCGUGAAGUUGACCGCCUGGGGAGUACGGCCGCAAGGUUAAAACUCAAAUGAAUUGACGGGG